CCUACGGGAGGCAGCAGUGAGGAAUAUUGGUCAAUGGACGAGAGUCUGAACCAGCCAAGUAGCGUGAAGGAUGACUGCCCUAUGGGUUGUAAACUGCUUUUAUAUGGGAAUAAAAUGUGCCACGUGUGGGAUGUUGUAUGUACCAUAUGAAUAAGGAUCGGCUAACUCCGUGCCAGCAGCCGCGGUAAUACGGAGGAUCCUAGCGUUAUCCGGAUUUAUUGGGUUUAAAGGGAGCGUAGGUGGAUUGUUAAGUCAGUUGUGAAAGUUUGCGGCUCAACCGUGAAAUUGCAGUUGAAACUGGCAGUCUUGAGUACAGUAGAGGUGGGCGGAAUGCGUGGUGUAGCGGUGAAAUGCUUAGAUAUCACGAAGAACACCGAUUGCGAAGGCAGCUCACUGGACUGCAACUGACACUGAGGCUCGAAAGUGUGGGUAUCAAACAGGAUUAGAUACCCUAGUAGUC
rnacentral:rRNA from 1 species